rnacentral:rRNA from 1 species
UACGUAGGGUGCAAGCGUUAUCCGGAAUUAUUGGGCGUAAAGAGCUCGUAGGCGGUUUGUCGCGUCUGCUGUGAAAACUGGAGGCUCAACCUCCAGCCUGCAGUGGGUACGGGCAAACUAGAGUGCGGUAGGGGAGAUUGGAAUUCCUGGUGUAGCGGUGGAAUGCGCAGAUAUCAGGAGGAACACCGAUGGCGAAGGCAGCCAUCUGGACCGACACUGACGCUGAGGCGCGAAAGCGUGGGGAGCAAACAGG